UGGGAACGACGGGGCCCGCCAGCAGGGUGGCUGAGGGGAAGGCCUCGGCCCCGGGCCGCAGGCAGGAAUUGAGGGUCGGGAGCCGAAGUGGAACUGGAGCCGGCGCCACGAGACGCGGCCCCAAGGGGCGCCUCCACCCAGUGGCCCUCCCCAACCCCACUCCCGCGGCCCUCCUGCCCCGGCGUCACCCGGCUGCGCUAGGACCUCCAAGGGCGGCGUCUGGGAGCCCUCUGCCUCACCUCCUCCCCAGGGUCAGGUUGCAGAAAGGACAAGCUCCUCCGCCGUCCCUGGUGGGCAUGGAAGGAGGGCAAGUGAUGGCAGCCGAGGCUAUGGUGUGACCAAGGUGGACUAAAGGAAAAGCUAUAUUGAAGAAAACUUCUGGACCUGCCAACCAAGAAGGUCCCAAGAGUCCAGACUGGGUGACCACGUGGACCCUCAUCCUUCACCUACUCAUCCUGCCUAGAAUCCAGCGAACAUUUUAGGAGGUAGCUACUAAAGAGAGCCAUGGGGAAGAAAGAAUUCUGCUGUGUCUCCUGCCCAGCCCCAGCUGCCGGACACAGCUGCAGGGAGGGAGGAAAGCGAGAUUUCACCGGGAAGCUGCCGGCUGCCCAGCACUGCCAGACAUGGUCAACGAAGGUACAAAGAGCAUCUGGAGGACCCAGUCCUGGUCUCUGAUUCCUCAGAAAGGGGCCUAGCCCUGGUCUCUGAUUCCUCAAAAAGGUCUCCACCCUAGUACCUCAUGUGCCUUGGGAUCCAGCAUCAAAGUUCAGAAGUGGGCUCAGCCAGCAGCUGGCCGUGCUCACACACUGAAGCAUCCUUAGUCAGCUCCUGGCUACCCAGCAGAGCAGAAGCUAUGCCCAAACUCGGGGUCACCCGACUCCUCUUCACCUCUUACAUCCCAGCCCUCAGCAAAUCCCCCGAUCCAGCCUCCCUUCCAGCUAUAUCCAGAAUCUGGCCACUUCUCAUCACUUCCAUCCUUGCAACUCUGACCCAGCAACCAGCCUCACCCACCAAGACUACUACCACCAGCCCCUGGCCUGCUCCCUGUUCCUGCCAUCACUGCGGCCUUCACUCUUUUGCAUUCUGUCUCCCCCCACACCUCCAGAUGGCACCUGCUAGAGGAGGUCUGUUCUGGCCUCUGCACAAACCGGACAGAGGCUUCCCAAGUGGCUUAGAGUAAAACCCCAGUGACAGCCUUGGAGGACCCGGGGCAUUUGGUCACUCUCUGAACCCGUCUCCCACCACUCGCCCUGGUGACAGCAGUGCCCUCACUCUGCAUCAAGGACUUUGCAUGUUGCUUCUUCAGCCUGAAAUGCUCUCCCCUAGGAAUCCUCCAUAGCUCAUUCCUUCACCACAUUGAGGAGAAGAAGCCUGUUUGGAGCCCCCUUUCUGAAAGUUCAGGCCCUGCCCCCACCACGUCUAACCCCAUGCCUGCUCUGUUCUCCCCUGAGCAUGUGCUCCUCUGGAACGUACUGUGUCACCACUUGCCGCCAACGCCUGCAGGACACCUCUGUGGACACCCGUGACACCUCAAAGCAUCUCUGCUGCCAGAGCUUCACUAGGACUCAUGAGACUAAGCAGACGUUUAUACCCACGGCUAAGACUCAACAAGGACACAGCAGGGUCUGAGGGAUCAGGGCACAGACUCGCUGUGCUCUCUCUCUCAUGAGGGCUGCACGGAGCACACCCUGCACCUGCAUCUCCCCAGGGAAGUAGAUGCUCAGAGCUGGGGCAGAGGCUGGAGCUGCUCAUGUCAGCACACUCUCUGCACAGCACAGCUAACAAGACUCCAGACUCCCAAUAGGAAAGCGGCUGUUCACAAACCACAUUAUCUGUAAAAACAGUCAGCAGGCCAGGACAGAGGGGCAGGAUCCUGAAAGUCAAGUUCCCAGAUGCCAGCCCAGGGCCAGCCCCUGUCAUCAGCUGUCCCAGUGAGGAGGUCUGCGACAGAUGCUCUCCUCACUGAAAUGUGAGCUUCAUGGAGGGUUUUGUUUUGUUUGUUCGUUGCUCUGUCUCUCUGGUACAGAAUGGGUGCUCCAUAAACAUCUGCUGAAUGAAUUAAUGAUCCUCAAGUAUAAGCCCA